rnacentral:sRNA from 1 species
UAAAACUACUAAAAUACCCCCUAAAAUAUUUAUAAAAAAAAAGAGGUAUAGAGUUGGGAGUAUUUUGGUACUUUCA